UACGUAGGGGGCUAGCGUUGUCCGGAUUUAUUGGGCGUAAAGAGCGUGUAGGCGGCCAUGUAGGUCCGGUGUGAAAACUCGAGGCUUAACCUCGAGAUGUCAUCGGAAACCAUUUGGCUAGAGUCCGGAAGAGGAGAGUGGAAUUCCUGGUGUAGCGGUGAAAUGCGCAGAUAUCAGGAAGAACACCAAUGGCGAAAGCAGCUCUCUGGGACGGUACUGACGGCUGAGACGCGAAAGCGUGGGGAGCGAACAGG
rnacentral:rRNA from 1 species